rnacentral:rRNA from 1 species
UACGGGGGGGGCAAGCGUUGUUCGGAAUUACUGGGCGUAAAGGGCGCGUAGGCGGCCUGCUAAGUCGGACGUGAAAUCCCUCGGCUCAACCGAGGAACUGCGUCCGAUACUGGUGGGCUUGAAUCCGGGAGAGGGAUGUGGAAUUCCAGGUGUAGCGGUGAAAUGCGUAGAUAUCUGGAGGAACACCGGUGGCGAAGGCGGCAUCCUGGACCGGUAUUGACACUGAGGGACGAAAGCUAGGGGAGCGAAUGGG